rnacentral:rRNA from 1 species
GAUGAACGCUGGCGGCGUGCUUAACACAUGCAAGUCGAACGAUGAAAGCGGGAGCUUGCUCCUGCUGGAUUAGUGGCGAACGGGUGAGUAACACGUGAGCAAUCUGCCCCGAACUCUGGGAUAAGCGUUGGAAACGACGUCUAAUACCGGAUACGACGCGCGAAGGCAUCUUCUGCGCGUGGAAAGAAUUUCGGUUCGGGAUGAGCUCGCGGCCUAUCAGCUAGUUGGUGAGGUAACGGCUCACCAAGGCGACGACGGGUAGCCGGCCUGAGAGGGUGACCGGCCACACUGGGACUGAGACACGGCCCAGACUCCUACGGGAGGCAGCAGUGGGGAAUAUUGCACAAUGGGCGCAAGCCUGAUGCAGCAACGCCGCGUGAGGGACGACGGCCUUCGGGUUGUAAACCUCUUUUAGCAGGGAAGAAGCGAAAGUGACGGUACCUGCAGAAAAAGCACCGGCUAACUACGUGCCAGCCGCCGCCGCAGUAA